rnacentral:rRNA from 1 species
UACGGAGGGUGCAAGCGUUAUCCGGAUUUACUGGGUUUAAAGGGUGUGUAGGCGGACUUUUAAGUCCGUGGUGAAAUCUCCGGGCUCAACCCGGAAACUGCCAUGGAUACUAUGGGUCUUGAAUAUUGUUGAGGUGGGCGGAACGGGUCAUGUAGCGGUGAAAUGCAUAGAUAUGACCCGGAACACCGAUUGCGAAGGCAGCCCACUAAGCAAUGAUUGACGCUGAGGCACGAAAGCGUGGGGAUCAAACAGG